UAGGGCGCAAGCGUUGUCCGGAAUUAUUGGGCGUAAAGAGCUCGUAGGCGGUCUGUUGCGUCCGCUGUGAAAACUCGGGGCUUAACCCCGAGCCUGCAGUGGAUACGGGCAGACUAGAGGUAGGUAGGGGAGAAUGGAAUUCCCGGUGUAGCGGUGAAAUGCGCAGAUAUCGGGAGGAACACCGGUGGCGAAGGCGGUUCUCUGGGCCUUACCUGACGCUGAGGAGCGAAAGCGUGGGGAGCGAACAGGAUUAGAUACCCUGGUAGUCCACGCCGUAAACGUUGGGCGCUAGGUGUGGGAUCCUUCCACGGAUUCCGUGCCGCAGCUAACCCAUUAAGCGCCCCGCCUGGGGAGUACGGGCGCCAGGCUAAAACUCAAA
rnacentral:rRNA from 1 species